AGCACACUGGAUGAGGCUCUAGCUCUUUACAACUUUGAUCCAGAAACCCCAGUGGGGAUAUUAUUGAAAACAUCAGUGCAGACAGGUUCUGGCCCUGCCCUCAUAAGAGGAAAAAGCCCUUUCGCAGUUGAGGUCUUAUUAUAUUAAGUUAAAAAUUUAUAGCAUUUAACUAGGCUGUAACCAGUUAAUGUGACUCAGGAAAGGCUGUAAUGUGGAUGGAGGCAUUACCACUUUGCCUCACUGCAGAAGUUACUGUUUUUCCAGACCUCACAUGUGAGAGGAGCCCAGUUAAAGCACGUCUAGCAAUUAGGCUGUGAGGUCACCUGAUUAAGUGAGGGGCAUCAGCAGGGUUUCAGGCUGACUGACUUCAGCUGGGCUGUGGCUAACAGCCUGAAACAUUUCUUUACCAGUGCUGUUGGGCUGAGCUCCUUCCCUACGACUUAUCAGCACCAGCAUUUCAGUAAAGCUAUGAGCGGCAGCUCUUACUGCCUGGGAACAAACUCAUGCGGCCCAGUCAGGAGGAUGGCAGCUCUACACAACCGGUACAAAUAAGGACCAGGCCUUUGUUUCUGCUCUUGCUGGCGUUCCCUGGCACGCUGAGAGUUUUGCAGUGGAGGGGAACAGACGCGCAGCGAAUUCCUCCCGGCCGUGUGAAUGCCCUCGGUGUUCAGGCUUCAACUAGCACCAGGGCGUUCUGCCUGUGUGGGUGUUUGGAGGAGUCCUACUGAUGGCCGAAAACGACCUAGAUUUUGUUUGUAUAACGUGGUGCAUUUGGAAGAGAAAAAAAGAUCAGAUGAAGAGGAUCCCCUUCUAGCACAGAUGCCCGCUCCCCAGCUGACCUACCCAGACAACUCUGCCCUCCUUUCUGGUGGAGAAUGGAGCGGCUCCCACGGAUUAACUUGGUGACAUCUGUUUGGGUAACACACGGACAAGAUGGGGAGUUGCAAUUCGUACACCUCUGUUUUCUUUUGAAACCCUUCCCAAUUAUAGGAGAUUAAAACCUUUAAUGUGUCAUUAUUUUGGGCUAGAUAUCAACUGCCAAGCACAACCAUGCUCUUCAGAUUACGAAUCAAGAAAAGAAUGAGUUUGUUAAAAUGGCAUGCUUGCCAUACAGAGUAACUGCUCCCCUUUAGCUUUACGCAGGAAGGUUUUCAGAUUUAUGGCAAAGCCAAGUGUUGGUCUUUGUAAAGGGGAAAGCAGGGCUGGAAGAAAGCCCUGACACACAUCUGUGCUGCAGGGAGUCAAGCAGCAAAACCCAGGGCUUUUCUGCUGCUCUAACCAGGGGUUUGUGUACC